rnacentral:tRNA from 1 species
GCCUCUAUGGCGCAGUGGUAACGCGUCGCACUUGUACCACUGGAAAAGUCAAACUUUUCUUACUACUGAAAAUGCGAAGAUCACAAGUUCAAUUCUUGUUGGAGGCA